AUUGAACGCUGGCGGCAGGCCUAACACAUGCAAGUCGAGCGGCAGCGGAAAGUAGCUUGCUACUUUGCCGGCGAGCGGCGGACGGGUGAGUAAUGUCUGGGAAACUGCCUGAUGGAGGGGGAUAACUACUGGAAACGGUAGCUAAUACCGCAUGACCUCGAAAGAGCAAAGUGGGGGAUCUUCGGACCUCACGCCAUCGGAUGUGCCCAGAUGGGAUUAGCUAGUAGGUGAGGUAAUGGCUCACCUAGGCGACGAUCCCUAGCUGGUCUGAGAGGAUGACCAGCCACACUGGAACUGAGACACGGUCCAGACUCCUACGGGAGGCAGCAGUGGGGAAUAUUGCACAAUGGGCGCAAGCCUGAUGCAGCCAUGCCGCGUGUGUGAAGAAGGCCUUAGGGUUGUAAAGCACUUUCAGCGAGGAGGAAGGCACCACACUUAAUACGUGUGGUGAUUGACGUUACUCGCAGAAGAAGCACCGGCUAACUCCGUGCCAGCAGCCGCGGUAAUACGUAGGGCGCGAGCGUUGUCCGGAAUUAUUGGGCGUAAAGGGCUUGUAGGCGAUUGGUCGCGUCUGCCGUGAAAUCCUCUGGCUUAACUGGGGGCGUGCGGUGGGUACGGGCUGACUUGAGUGCGGUAGGGGAGACUGGAACUCCUGGUGUAGCGGUGGAAUGCGCAGAUAUCAGGAAGAACACCGGUGGCGAAGGCGGGUCUCUGGGCCGUUACUGACGCUGAGGAGCGAAAGCGUGGGGAGCGAACAGG
rnacentral:rRNA from 1 species